rnacentral:rRNA from 1 species
ACUAACAGGAUUCUCUAAGUAACGGCGAGUGAACAGAGAUUAGCCCAACAUCGAAGCCACCAUGCGUUUGUAUGGGAGGCAAUGUGAUGUUUUGGUGUUUGAACGCGCUGUCUGGCUAACUUGAAGUCCAUAUUUGACUGUGGCUUGUGUAUAUACACCCAGAGAUGGUGAUAGGCCCGUUCAGGUUGGUAUUCUGGCAUGACAGUUCAGUGUGUAUUCAUUCAUCAAAGAGUCGGAUUGCUUGAGAGUGCAGUCCAAAAUGGGUGGUAAACUCCAUCUAAGGCUAAAUACCUGUGCGAGUCCGAUAGUCAACAAGUACCGUGAGGGAAAGUUGAAAAGUACUCUGAAGAGAGAGUAAAUAGUACGUGAAACCACAUGGAGGUUAAACAAAUAGAGUCAAGCUGCAU